rnacentral:lncRNA from 1 species
UUCUCAGAAGGAUUGGGGUUCAUGAUUCUGAUGCUGAAUUUGGAGUGUAUUUCCAGGUCUCUCCUUGAGACUUCUGCUCUGCACUUAAGAGCCAGCAAAAGACCAUUCUUCCAAGGAGAUCUUCCUGAUCAUGCAGAGAGCAUUCUGAACAUCACCCAAUCAAGGCAGGAGGUCGCCUAA